UGACCUCGGUUCAAACUUGAUUCCC
rnacentral:rRNA from 1 species